rnacentral:rRNA from 1 species
CAACUAUAUACAACUG